GGGGGGUUAGUUCAGUGGUAGAACUCAACACCUUUGGUGUUGCAGCACAGGUUCGAUUCCUGUACCUUCCA